rnacentral:rRNA from 1 species
GACGAACGCUGGCGGUGUGCUUCACACAUGCAAGUCGAACGAGGUAGCAAUACCUAGUGGCGGACGGGUGAGUAACGCGUGGGAAUCUGCCUUUAGAUGGGGGGAUAACGGGUCGAAAGACUCGCUAAUACCGCAUAUGACGAAAGUUGAAAGGAGUAAUCCGUCUAAAGAUGAGCCCGCGUCCGAUUAGCUAGUUGGUAGAGUAAAAGCCUACCAAGGCGACGAUCCGGUAGCUGGUCUGAGAGGAUGAUCAGCCACAAUGGGACUAGAAGACACGGCCCAUACUCCUACGGGAGGCAGCAGUGGGAAUUUUACGCAAUGGCGAAAGCCUGACGU